UACGAAGGGGGCUAGCGUUGCUCGGAAUUACUGGGCGUAAAGGGCGCGUAGGCGGACAGUUUAGUCAGAGGUAAAAGCCCAGGGCUCAACCUUGGAACUGCCUUUGAUACUGGCUGUCUUGAGUUCGGGAGAGGUGAGUGGAAUGCCGAGUGUAGAGGUGAAAUUCGUAGAUAUUCGCAAGAACACCAGUGGCGAAGGCGGCUCACUGGUCCGGUACUGACGCUGAGGUGCGAAAGCGUGGGGAGCGAACAGG
rnacentral:rRNA from 1 species